rnacentral:rRNA from 1 species
AGUGAACGCUGGCGGUAGGCCUAACACAUGCAAGUCGAACGGCAGCACAGUAAGAGCUUGCUCUUACGGGUGGCGAGUGGCGGACGGGUGAGGAAUACAUCGGAAUCUACUUUUUCGGGGGGGAUAACGUAGGUAAACUUACGAUAAUACCGCAUACGACCUACGGGGGAAAGCAGGGGAUCUUCGGACCUUGCGCGAUUGAAUGAGCCGAUGUCGGAUUAGCUAGUUGGCGGGGUAAAGGCCAACCAAGGCGACGAUCCGUAGCUGGUCUGAGAGGAUGAUCAGCCACACUGGAACUGAGCCACGGUCCAGACUCCUACGGGAGGCAGCAGUGGGGAAUAUUGGACAAUGGGCGCAAGCCUGAUCCAGCCAUACCGCGUGGGUGAAGACGGCCUUCGGGUUGUAAAGCCCUUUCGUUGGUAAAGAAAAGCAGCAGGUUAAUACCCCGCUGUUCUGACGGUACCCAAAGAAUAAGCACCGGCUAACUCCGUG